UACCAUCAAAAAUUCCACGUCUACCUAAAAGUAAGAAAGCUUUCAUCCUUAGCCCAAGCUUCCGAAACAUAAAUCUCUCCUCAUCUGUUAAGCUAUCAGGCUCUGCAUGCCUAUCCAAAGGAUUUAAAGUUUCCUCCACCUUUGACAAGACACGCUCAGCUUUCAUCAACUUUUUUUCAGCAAAUGCAAGCUUCUUUUCAAGCUUCCUGACCAGGUCACCAUGCCUUAAUAGUUCUGCUUCUCGCAUCACAUUCUCCUUGUGCUUAUCAUCCAGCCUUUUCCCCCAUCUAGCAUCAGCAUCCAAAGUUUCUCCUAGUGUGCCAGCAGUCCUUGAAGAAUUAAUUGUUGUAACACCUGCUGUGAGGUUGAGUGAUGCUCGUAGCCUAGCUUUCUCUUCUUCAUCUUGCAAGGUCUUUGCCAAUCUCUCCUUCUCUAACAAGGCUUCUGCAACCUCUGGUGAUAAAAAAUCUUUCCCUCUAUAGAAUACCAAGAAGUCCUUGUUUCUAGAUAGUAGCAUACCCCCUGUUAAUUUCUUUAUAUCCUCAGCCAUUCUCUCACUUGUUGUAAGCUGAACGCCACGUUUUAUAGCAAUCUUUGCAAUUGAACUUCGUUGCCACAGCUUAACCAUGACUGAGGCCAAACCUUGAUGCUGCCUGCUUCUACCUAAAGCAAAAUGUGGAGGUAGAACUCUGGCAAGCCUUCUUAAAGCAGUUGCUUCUCUUGCCGCAAGAGUAGAUCUCACCCCAUAUGGAAGAAUUCUGAAAGGAGGUUGAUAUCCAGGGACUAUACCUGGAAGUAAAUCUGCAUCUACAGGAAGUGGUCCGGAUCCUGGCCAAUCUGUAUACCUAGGCCCCAAGCCAUCUAACAGUUUGUCUACUUCAUCUUCAUAGUUCACUUCUGAUUGUCUAUCAAUACUUUUGUUCUCUUCAGAAGUAUCUACAGAGUCUUCUCGGAG
rnacentral:misc_RNA from 1 species